rnacentral:rRNA from 1 species
UACGUAGGGGGCAAGCGUUAUCCGGAUUUACUGGGUGUAAAGGGAGCGUAGACGGCGAUGCAAGCCAGAUGUGAAAGCCCGGGGCUCAACCCCGGGGCUGCAUUUGGAACUGUGUGGCUGGAGUGUCGGAGAGGCAAGUGGAAUUCCUAGUGUAGCGGUGAAAUGCGUAGAUAUUAGGAGGAACACCGGUGGCGAAGGCGGCCUGCUGGACUGCAACUGACGUUGAGGCCCGAAAGCGUGGGGAGCAAACAGG